GUGAAUCAUCGAAUUUUUGAACGCAAAUUGCACUCUCUUCGGAGAGUAUGCCUGUUUGAGGGUCAGCCUAAAAAAAAUCGACAUAGUUGCUGUUACGCUGUGACAUUCUUCGGAAAUUUGGUCAUCUUAAACCUUUGGGUUUAAUCGGUUUAAAAUUUUCUUUACGUUCCCAAGUUCGUUUCUAAGAUUUUAUUUUCUUAUACAUUUAUGUUAUCUAUUGUUAUUACAUGUUGCCCUUCU
rnacentral:misc_RNA from 1 species